rnacentral:rRNA from 1 species
GAUGAACGCUGGCGGCGUGCCUAAUACAUGCAAGUCGAGCGAACAGACGAGGAGCUUGCUCCUCUGACGUUAGCGGCGGACGGGUGAGUAACACGUGGAUAACCUACCUAUAAGACUGGGAUAACUUCGGGAAACCGGAGCUAAUACCGGAUAAUUUAUUGAACUGCAUGGUUCAAUAGUGAAAGACGGUUUUGCUGUCACUUAUAGAUGGAUCCGCGCCGCAUUAGCUAGUUGGUAAGGUAACGGCUUACCAAGGCGACGAUGCGUAGCCGACCUGAGAGGGUGAUCGGCCACACUGGAACUGAGACACGGUCCAGACUCCUACGGGAGGCAGCAGUAGGGAAUCUUCCGCAAUGGGCGAAAGCCUGACGGAGCAACGCCGCGUGAGUGAUGAAGGUCUUCGGAUCGUAAAACUCUGUUAUUAGGGAAGAACAAAUGUGUAAGUAACUAUGCACGUCUUGACGGUACCUAAUCAGAAAGCCACGGCUAACUACGUG